rnacentral:rRNA from 1 species
AAUCAACGCUGGCGGCGUGCCUCAGACAUGCAAGUCGAACGCGAAAGUUCCCUUCGGGGAGCGAGUAGAGUGGCGUCCGGGUGAGUAACACGUAGGUAAUCUACCUUUGGGUGGGGAAUAACAACCGGAAACGGUUGCUAAUACCGCAUAAUGCAGCGGCACCGCAUGGUGACAGUUGUUAAAGCGGGGGAUCGCAAGACCUCGCGCCUAAAGAGGAGCCUGUGGCGGAUUAGCUAGNGGUCAGGGUAACGGCCUACCAAGGCAACGAUCCGUAGCCGGCCUGAGAGGGCGGUCGGCCACACUGACACUGAAAUACGGGUCAGACUCCUACGGGAGGCAGC